AAGACUAUACUUUCAGGGAUCAUUUCUAUAGUUAUUGACUUGGAAACGUGAAUAGAAAGUAGUGUCUCACUACUCACGAUGAUGAUUUGUAAUGCUUUUCUUUGAGCAUGAGUCAGACAAUGGUGGGAUUUGUUUCAACUCUUUACCGUAUGUUGCUGAUGAUUGUUCUUGUUGUCUCUUUUAGAGACGCAAGAGAGAGAAGAAAGCAUAUUCAGAGUGAUU
ensembl:snoRNA small nucleolar RNA U3